GGUAACACAGAGAGCUUGCUCUCGGGUGACGAGCGGCGGACGGGUGAGUAAUGUCUGGGAAACUGCCUGAUGGAGGGGGAUAACUACUGGAAACGGUAGCUAAUACCGCAUAACGUCGCAAGACCAAAGUGGGGGACCUUCGGGCCUCAUGCCAUCAGAUGUGCCCAGAUGGGAUUAGCUAGUAGGUGGGGUAAUGGCUCACCUAGGCGACGAUCCCUAGCUGGUCUGAGAGGAUGACCAGCCACACUGGAACUGAGACACGGUCCAGACUCCUACGGGAGGCAGCAGUGGGGAAUAUUGCACAAUGGGCGCAAGCCUGAUGCAGCCAUGCCGCGUGUAUGAAGAAGGCCUUCGGGUUGUAAAGUACUUUCAGCGAGGAGGAAGGCAUUAAGGUUAAUAACCUUGGUGAUUGACGUUACUCGCAGAAGAAGCACCGGCUAACUCCGUGCCACC
rnacentral:rRNA from 1 species